AAAAAAAGAAAAGGUUAUGUAGCCACGUAGUCUAGUGAAUCAAAUUCAUAAAUUAAAAUACAGCAGUGAUACAAUAUUUAUAUACCACCCAGAUGGUAAGUAGACUCAGAAAUUAUUAAUAUUUUACUACAUACAGAAAAUUCAGCAAAACACUAACCAUACCACCCAUUUGGAAGCCAGAACCUAAUUUUUUUGUCUUGUCACCUGUGAUCUAUAAAUGUUCACAAUUUAAAGUGAUAACAAAUACUUAAAAUAUAACUUUUUCCUGGCAUGCUGUGCAAUGAAGGGUUCUAAAAGCAGAAUCACACACUUACUGUUCUAAAUUAAAAUCAGCUGAAUCCAGGUAGUAACUCAAAACAUUUCACAUUGAGUCAGGAGAUUUAGGAGAUGUGAAGGUUAUGUAUUUCUGGAUUUCACAGUAUUAGAAACUGCAAAUGCAUGGCUUCAAAUAGUGGCAAACUGAAGCAGAUAUAUUCUUUCUGGGUACUCUCUAGCACCUUUGGUAAAUUUAAAUUUGGCUUUAGACAAUUUUUAAAUAGGGUGUAAAGAGAUCAUUUUGGCUGUCACCUUAUACGUGAAUGGAUUUCCUUAACAUUUAGCAGUAGAAGUGAAUUAAUCUGAAAUCUUUUUAGUAAUCAGAGUUUUCAAGGUAUGACCUAUUUUCUAGCUAAGCCUGUCACUCCAGUCUUUUUGAGAAAUGAAAAAGCAAAAUUCCUAAGCAAAAGCAGAAUAUAAGAAGUCUUUCUCGGGGCCGGCUCCGUGGCUGAGUGGGUAAAUUUGCACGCUCCGCUUUGGUGGCCCAGGGUUUUGCCAGUUCAGAUCCUGGACAUGGACAUGGCACUGCUCAUUAGGCCAUGAUGAGAUGGCGUCUCACAUACCACAAUUAGAAGGACCCACAACUAAAAUAUACAAGUAUGUACUGGGGGGACUUGGGGAGAAAAAGGGGGGGGGGACUGGCAAGAGUUGUCACCUCGGGUGCCAGUCUUAAAAAAAAGUCUUUCUCCUUUCAGAAGAGUGCAGUAUCACCUGAAGAAACCAUCUUUAGUCCAAAGGGGAAGAGACUCCUCUAAGCCAUCUCUCAAAUUUCCAAUAGGAUAAACCAAGACUACAGCAGCACAAUGGCUGCCACUGGCUUUGGCUGCUGCAACUAUGGUCUUUGACACAAGGUGUUGGCAGGCAAUUCACACAUUCUGGGGACCAGGCAACAAACUGGCCUGUGGGGUUAGAGAGCUUUUCUGGCCGCUUCCAUUUCUAGUGAUAAACGGGAAAAGAAAGUUAGCUCCACUGAGCAUUUAUCUUGGGUUACAAGACAAAACCUAAUUUAACUAAUCUGACAGGUUGGUUUUUGUUUUGUUUUAAAUACUUGCCACCUUAGGAUCACAUCUCCUUCCAGCAAGGGAGUGGCUGCUUCACUACCUUAGAGCUUGCCAAGACUGGACAUGAUGCACAAAAAAGAACCUCUUGAAAUGCAGGCACACUUGUUUCUCUAACUUCUGUGUCAGAAUUUAGAUAUAGUCACUCCAUACUUUGUGGAUAAAAAUGUUCUUGGGAAAAAAGGACCAAGUAAUUAAGUUGACAAGUUCUUUCUUUGAGCCAAUAAUGAUAGCUUCCUGGUCAAUCACUCCACUUUCUCCUUAAGACAGUGCCUUGAAAAUAUUAACUUCGACAGUCACAGUAAUGACGCCCUUCCUGAGUGAGCUGCUGCUCCUUGUUAAUUAUUGUUCAUUAAUGGGUAAGCUGCUCAACCACAAAGGCUGCCAGUAGGUGCCUAGAGAUGACUUAGAAAGUUGAGAUUGUUUGCUAAUAUAUUUGUAUUUGAAUCCCCCUCUUUCAAAAGAAAAAUUAUACACUGCAACUGUUUGACAAAUACCACCUGUGAGACCAAUGCUCAUUUCUUUCCUCAGACCAAAAAAAUGAGUUGGACAGACUGCAGAGAUGUACUUGCCUCAAAACUGCAGAAGAGCCGUAAGGACCCAACUGGGGUAAGGCACGGGCUUUACCUAUGUGUCUGAAGAUAGAAAUGAAAGAGGCCAGCAGCCUUCUACUCUACAGGCAUACCUCGGAGAUACUGCGGGUUCCAUUCCAGACCAUCACAAGAAAGCAAGCAUCGCAAUAAAGUGAGGCAAGUCACACUCAUGUUUUGGUUUCUCAGUGCAUAUAAAAGUUAUGUUUACACUACACUGAAGUCUAUUAAGCAUGCAACAGCAUCUCUAAAAAUAAUAGCAAUGUACACACCUUAAUUGAAAAAUACUUUAUUGCUAAAAAUGCUAACCAUCAUCUGAGCCUUCAGUGAGUCAUCUUUUUGCUGGUGGAGGGUCUUGCCUCAAUGUUGAUGGCUGCUGACUGAUCAGCGUGGUGGUUGCUAAAGGCUGGGGUGGCUGCGGCAACUUCUUAAAAUAA